rnacentral:rRNA from 1 species
CGUGUAGGCGGCCAGAUAAGUCCGCUGUGAAAACUCGAGGCUCAACUUCGAGCUGUCGGUGGAAACUAUUUGGCUAGAGUCCGGAAGAGGAGAGUGGAAUUCCUGGUGUAGCGGUGAAAUGCGCAGAUAUCAGGAAGAACACCCGUGGCGAAGGCGGCUCUCUGGUACGGAACUGACGCUGAGACGCGAAAGCGUGGGGAGCGAACA